rnacentral:lncRNA from 1 species
GGAACUAUAGGGUCACAGCAUUAGGAAGGUUGAGAACCACUGCAAACUAACCUGAGGUUGAAGACCUACAGAAAACCGAAUCCAGCACGAGGAGGAUGCAAGGCUCCCCGCAGACAGCUUUCUGGGCCCCUUCAGACACGGACUGAUACCAAGCUUAUCGUUGGUUUCUCAGCAAAGGCAGAUAAGAUGGCAGCUAAUGAGAUUUGCUCCUGGAAAACUCACCAGAGCCGUAAUUCAUCGGCUGCUUUUGAGUCACUACAGCUGAAGCAGGGAGGAGCUAUAAGAAAUCAUUUUGUCACCUGCUUUAGACAGCUGAAAACCCACCCAACAAGGACCGCACUGAUCUCAGGCAAAUGAGUGGGAGACAAAAGUACCCAGAACCCUACAUCAAACACUGGAUCUCUCUACACAGCCCUGGCUGUCCUGGAACUCACUAAGUAGACCAUGUUGGUCUCGAACUCACAGAGAUCUACAAGUCUCUGCCUCCAGAGUGCUGGAAUUGAAGAAAGAAACCCUUAGACAAGAAUGACAACAAAAGAAUAAAGUGUCUGCAAUACUCAGUUACAAAAAGCAGAAAAAGUAAAAGGAUGAUUUCAACCAUG